rnacentral:tRNA from 2 species
GGGGCAGUAGCUCAGUGGGUAGAGACGGUCGUCGGUUCGACUCCAGCCUGCUCCACAAAAAAACAAAUAUAGAGGUAGGACAGUAGCUUCGGGAUUAUCUGAAAUGAGGUCAACCGGGGCUUACUUCUUAACGGUGGAUAUUGCUGGUUCGAAUCCGGCCUGUUCUA